GGCUCGAUAGCUCAGUUGGUAGAGCAGAGGAUUGAAAAUCCUUGUGUCGGGGGUUCAAUUCCCUCUCGAGCCA
rfam:Candidatus Marinimicrobia bacterium TMED274 117639, whole genome shotgun sequence.